rnacentral:lncRNA from 1 species
ACACUUUGAGGACUUUAGUUUCAAUUAUUGACUUUUCUGAAAAUGUCCUGCGGUCUAACGGACUUAAGUGUCAGAGCCUUCCACUCCUCCAUUUGUUCUACCAAAAGCAAAGACGAAAAAGGAAUAGAGGAAAAGGAAAAUUUGGACGGAUCUGUUGCCGGAGAUGUAAACAAAAUGUCGGAAUGUUUGAUAAUUGUCCAUAAACGAAAUGUCCGGAGAAAGGAAAAGUUGUACCAAAAAUCUCAAAAAGUCCGGUAUUUGUAGAAGAAUUUCCUUUCAAAACUUUAUGACCUUUGAAAUCUAUUUAGUUCUAUUCCAUAUGGAAAAUUUUCAUAGCCCAAAAUUGAAAAAAUUAAUUUUUCUUAGAACUACUUUUUCUGAUUAGUCUUUGUCACUUCUGCUGCAGCAUGAAGAUCGAAAAUGCCGGUUGUUCAAACUUCACCCGCAUUAUGG